ACGAACGCUGGCGGCGUGCUUAACCCAUGCAAGUCGAACGGAAAGGCCCCUUUGGGGUACUCGAGUGGCGAACGGGUGAGUAACACGUGAGUAACCUGCCCUUGACUUCGGGAUAACUUCAGGAAACUGGGGCUAAUACCGGAUAGGAAUCCUUGCUGCAUGGUGGGGGUUGGAAAGCUUCGGCGGUUUUGGAUGGACUCGCGGCUUAUCAGCUUGUUGGUGGGGUAGUGGCUUACCAAGGCUUUGACGGGUAGCCGGCCUGAGAGGGCGACCGGCCACAUUGGGACUGAGAUACGGCCCAGACUCCUACGGGAGGCAGCAGUGGGGAAUAUUGCACAAUGGGCGGAAGCCUGAUGCAGCAACGCCGCGUGCGGGAUGACGGCCUUCGGGUUGUAAACCGCUUUCAGCAGGGGCGAAGCUUGUGGUGACGGUACCUGCGGAAGAAGCACCGGCUAACUACGUG
rnacentral:rRNA from 1 species